rnacentral:pre_miRNA from 1 species
GGAUGUGGGAUUCAAACUCAAGACCUCUCACCUCAGCUCUCAAACACAUUACCAUACCAUCUACUACACACAUCUGACUUGGAUAGAGAUGUUUUUUUUAACUAAGCCUAGAAGCAUCUUUCACCAACCGAUACUAAAAAUAUCUUUAGUUCUAGUUGGUAACACCAACCUAGACUAAAAAUUCUUCUACAAUUCGAACCUACACAUUCUAAGGGCAUAUACAAAGGUAGAGUCAGGUAUGAGCUCUACGUUA